rnacentral:rRNA from 1 species
UACGGAGGGGGCUAGCGUUGUUCGGAAUUACUGGGCGUAAAGCGCACGUAGGCGGCUUUGUAAGUUAGAGGUGAAAGCCCGGGGCUCAACCCCGGAAUUGCCUUUAAGACUGCAUCGCUUGAACGUCGGAGAGGUGAGUGGAAUUCCGAGUGUAGAGGUGAAAUUCGUAGAUAUUCGGAAGAACACCAGUGGCGAAGGCGGCUCACUGGACGACUGUUGACGCUGAGGUGACGAAAGCGUGGGGAGCAAACAGG